rnacentral:ncRNA from 1 species
CUUAUCAAGAGUGAGGGAGGGACCGGCCCGUAGAUCUCACAGCAACCAGUCGAAAGACAUGGUGCUAAAUCCGGCGGUGACGAAAGAUGAG